rnacentral:rRNA from 1 species
GACGAACGCUGGCGGCGUGCUUAACACAUGCAAGUCGAACGGAAAGGCCCCUUCGGGGGUACUCGAGUGGCGAACAGGUGAGCAACACGUGAGUAACCUGCCCUUGACUUCGGGAUAACUUCAGGAAACUGGGGCUAAUACCGGAUAGGAAUCCUUGCUGCAUGGUGGGGGUUGGAAAGCUUCGGCGGUUUUGGAUGGACUCGCGGCUUAUCAGCUUGUUGGUGGGGUAGUGGCUUACCAAGGCUUUGACGGGUGGCCGGCCUGAGAGGGCGACCGGCCACAUUGGGACUGAGAUACGGCCCAGACUCCUACGGGAGGCAGCAGUGGGGAAUAUUGCACAAUGGGCGGAAGCCUGAUGCAGCAACGCCGCGUGCGGGAUGACGGCCUUCGGGUUGUAAACCGCUUUCAGCAGGGGCGAAGCUUGUGGUGACGGUACCUGCAGAAGAAGCACCGGCUAACUACGUG